AACGAACGCUGGCGGCAUGCCUAACACAUGCAAGUCGAACGAGACCUUCGGGUCUAGUGGCGCACGGGUGCGUAACGCGUGGGAACCUGCCCUUAGGUUCGGAAUAACUCCCCGAAAGGGGUGCUAAUACCGGAUAAUGUCUUCGGACCAAAGAUUUAUCGCCUUUGGAUGGGCCCGCGUUGGAUUAGCUAGUUGGUAGGGUAAAAGCCUACCAAGGCGACGAUCCAUAGCUGGUCUGAGAGGAUGAUCAGCCACACUGGGACCGAGACACGGCCCAGACUCCUACGGGAGGCAGCAGUGGGGAAUAUUGGACAAUGGGCGAAAGCCUGAUCCAGCAAUGCCGCGUGAGUGAUGAAGGCCUUAGGGUUGUAAAGCUCUUUUACCCGGGAUGAUAAUGACAGGACCGGGAGAAUAAGCUCCGGCUAACUCCGU
rnacentral:rRNA from 1 species